rnacentral:misc_RNA from 1 species
UAUUCCCUCUGCAAACGCCUCGCUCACACCGACCCACCUACGCACAGACGCCCAGAGCGGACCGUGCUUCGCCAUCUUCGAGCGUCGCUUGCCUCAUGCAGUGAUUUCCUUCACCUCCCUCCCCUUCUGUAGAUGUUGAGACGCUGCUCAGCGCUGCUGAAUGAUCCGCCACUGGUGAGCGGUGGCCCGGUCCUGGGUCUGAUGCGGGACACCGGCACGCGCACAACGAUCCGCCCCUCCAUCAUGGACGCGCAGAUCACGCAGAGCGCGCUGGAGGCGAAGAUGUCGAGCCUGCUGGCGCGUGAGAUGCAAGCGGAGAAGAUGGAGGCGGAGCGCGAGCCUCCGCUGAAGCGCAAGUGGGUGAAGGCGCCCGUCUCUCAGCUGUCGACGAGCCUCUCACGGCGUGACUGGUUCCGCCUGAUGAGCUUCAACAUGAUGACAGACGCCUGGGGGCCCAGCCACACCACCCCCGUCGAGGCGGUGCGGGUGCGCGUGCCCGAGUUUACGCGCAACCCGGAAUGCGACGACCCCAACGCCUUCUGCGACUACGACCCCUCCAUCGACAAGGAGCUCCCACCCUUCCUCACGCCGGAGCACCGUCGCAAGCACAUUGUGGAGCUGCUGCGGUGCUACGACCCCGAUAUUGCCUGCUUGAACGAGGUGAAGCGGACCUUUUUCAACACCGAGUUGUGGCGAUACGUGCGUUACCUCGGCUACGGCACGCUCUACCAGUCCAGUCGUGGUGCCCAGGUGCGGGCACUCCGCAAGGGUGACAAUGCCGCCGCUGCGGCCAACCAGGGCAAGAUCGCCGAGGAGGAGGACAUCGGCAACGUGCUCCUGUUUCACAAGGGCCGCUUCUUCCCGCUCAUGAUGCCCGGCCGCGACAUCGGCCAGCGCUUCCACUUUGCGCACUUCGUCGGCAUGCGGGACAGGGUGACAAACAUGACCCUCUACGUCGCUUGCGUGCAACUCACCGCGGGGGCAACGGCAGAGGCGGCCGACGUCCGGCUGCACGAGGCACGACAAGUGCUCACGAUACUUGAUGCCCUCGGCCGAAACGACGCAGAUCGCUCGCAUCAGUCGCACAUCGUCUGUGGCGACCUGAACAAUCAAGCGGACGAUGAGCCGUGCGUGGAGCUCCUGCGCGACAAAUUUUUUUCCACGCAUGACCUGGUUGGCGGUCCACGCUGGACGGCGUGGCACUACCGAGACGACGCCCGCGCCGCCGCCUAUGACACGUACUACACCAAGAACGCAGAGCAGGCUCACCGCUCCGACAAAGCCUACAAGGCCGAGGUGGAGAUCCAGCGUUUCCGGCGCACGGACGCGGGCGGCUACCAUGGCGUCUUCUCCAAAGUGCGGCUUGUGCGCGACGAGAUCGAAGCACGAGCUCACAAGAAGCAGCAGCAGCAGCUGACGACGCCAAAGGCUGCGCCAGAGAUGGCGACACCGCCGCCUGCUGACACGGUUGCUGCUGCGGCUGCUACUGCACCGGCGCCAUCGCCAGCCCCUGCACCAGCGCUGUCUGACACCGCCGUCAGGGUCGACCAGCUUGCGCUCUUGAAGGAGAGCCGAAAGGCGAAAGGCAUCACGUACAACACACAGGACUUCAUUUUCUACGACCCCAGCACGCUCGCCCUGCAUCAGGUGCUGGACGUUCCUGAGGAUGAAGAGGUGAACGAGGCGCAACUUUUUCCUAACCACAAACUGCCUUCUCACCACCUCCCGCUCUUCAUCGACAUCUCCUGGAUCGACUCCUUCCCCGAUGUCGCCGCACGAACGUUGAAAGACUAGGCGCAUAGUGGUGAGAGUGCGUGCUCAGCGUGUCCGUGCCUGUGUGCCUCUACUGGAUUUCUCGCUGGUUCGAGGAGUUGUUGUCGCUGGUGGUUGUUUGUCUUUCCAUGCUCACACACGGGGGACAGACAAGCCCAUUGUGCCGCACCGCACGCAUGCGUCCUCACUGACACGCGGGGCAUCAUCACUGCUCGCGCCUGGUCGUGCAGACGACAACCUCCAUCCAUAGAAGAUUCGAGCGCAUCGAAUGGGCGACGAGGAAAAGUGGCUGCUGCGGCAACGAGAGAGCACAAAACGGCGACUGCUCACAAUCCCCGCGCUCCUAACCACCACGCCCUUCGCUGGCGUCUGCCACUCGCCUAGUGUGGCUCACUUUGCACAGCUCCGUCAACGGCGCAUGAAAGCGUGCAAGUACCCCCACGGCUGUGCUCCUCCUCUCCCCAUGCGCCCUCAGGAUGCUGCUCCUCGCUCAGACAUCACCUACAACACUAGGGAAAACAGCCUUGGGACCGACAUGUGAGGAGCGUGCACCACACCUCUCAUACUCGCCACGUGGCCGCGACUCUGCAUCCACCCUCAUCUCUCCCGUGAGACGGAUUGCCUGUGCUAUUACUCACAGAAAACACCUCUACCCUCUUCCACACUCCCUCCCUCUUCUUUCUUCCCACCCUCCCCUGCCACGCAUGAGCCCCAUCGUAUCCCCACUUGCCCGCUGCACCUGUGCGUACCCCGUGAAG